rnacentral:rRNA from 1 species
GCGGCAGGCCUAACACAUGCAAGUCGAGCGCUACCUUCGGGUGGAGCGGCGGACGGGUGAGUAAUGCUUGGGAAUAUGCCUUUGAGUGGGGGACAACAGUUGGAAACGACUGCUAAUACCGCAUAAUGUCUACGGACCAAAGGGGGGGAUUCUUCGGAACCUCUCGCUCAUAGAUUAGCCCAAGUGAGAUUAGCUAGUUGGUAAGGUAAUGGCUUACCAAGGCGACGAUCUCUAGCUGGUUUGAGAGGAUGAUC